AAAUUUUAUUUAAUUUAACUACAAUUUAUUCCAAAUAGAAAUAUUUAUUUUUAAUUAAAAUGAAUAAUUUUUUUAAUUAAAAUCAAUUGAAUUUUACUUAGUUGAUUUUGAAAUAUAAUAGAGGAUAUUUAUUUAUGAAAUAAAAUAAUUGAGCAUUAAAUACAUAAGAGGGGUAGAGUUGGAAUUUAAGUACUAAUUA
rnacentral:lncRNA from 1 species